rnacentral:rRNA from 1 species
UCGGGAUAAGCUUGGGAAACUGGGUCUAAUACCGGAUAGGAGCCAUCUUUAGUGUGGUGGUUGGAAAGUUUUUUCGGUGUAGGAUGAGCUCGCGGCCUAUCAGCUUGUUGGUGGGGUAAUGGCCUACCAAGGCGGCGACGGGUAGCCGGCCUGAGAGGGUGUACGGCCACAUUGGGACUGAGAUACGGCCCAG